rnacentral:rRNA from 1 species
UAGCAGUAGGGAAUCUUCCACAAUGGGCGAAAGCCUGAUGGAGCAACGCCGCGUGUGUGAUGAAGGCUUUCGGGUCGUAAAGCACUGUUGUAUGGGAAGAACAGCUAGAAUAGGAAAUGAUUUUAGUUUGACGGUACCAUACCAGAAAGGGACGGCUAAAUACGUGCCAGCAGCCGCGGUAAUACGUAUGUCCCGAGCGUUAUCCGGAUUUAUUGGGCGUAAAGCGAGCGCAGAAGGUUUAUUAGGUCUGAUGUGAAAGCCCGGAGCUCAACUCCGGAAUGGCAUUGGAAACUGGUUAACUUGAGUGCAGUAGAGGUAAGUGGAACUCCAUGUGUAGCGGUGGAAU